GUCAAGUUUUACGCCUUCAGCCUGCAGCUUCCAUAUCAGCAUCAAUGCUAGUACAAGAACUGUGUGUCCCAUGUAAUGGGGCAGGGCCAUCAGAGUCCACGGCCACGCUUCUUACCUGUGUGCACCCACGGUGCCCACCACAAGUUCAACUACACGUACGCGUGGGGCUCACAUCCGACUGAGCAUAAAAUCCACGGGGACACUCUGCCUGAGCAUUCCGUCUGCGGCUAUAGCAAG